CGAUUGCUUCUUCGGACCAUUUUCUCGACUCCCCUCUCGCUACAAAAAGGUUUGUUCGUAUCGAAUCGUGCAAUUCUGCGGUAAAUUUUAAAAAUAAUGGGGUGUGAAUUUAAUGUUAAAUCGUGUUUUUACACAUUUAUUUUGGUUUUUGUUGCGUGGAAUUUUGUUCGAGCCCUCGAUCCAUUGGAACCCAAUCUCGCCGCAGAUCAAAAUAUUAUUGAAAUUAAAAGUGAAGACGAUUUCAAUAAUCAUGUUUUGAAAGCUAGUGAUAAAAAACCUGUGCUAGUUCAGUUUCACGCGCCAUGGUGUAAUCCCUGUAAAUUUCUUACCCCAAUUCUGAAAAAACACGUCCAUGAACACGAAGGUAAAAUUUCAUUAACGAGAAUUGAUAUAGCGCCGCCGGAAUUAAUGAAGCUUUCUCAAUCACAAGGAAUUCGUAGUGUUCCGAUUAUUGGAUCUUACGUGGAUGGUAAACUUGUUGACAAAUUGAUAGGAUUUAAGGAUGAACAAGAAGUUAGAAAAUUUGUUCAAAAACAAGUUGACGAUUUUGAAAAGAAGUCUGGAUAAACGUAAUUUCUCAACUGUGAUGACAUCCUAUGUAGAGACUGAGUAUUACUUAAGUACAACCAGUAAAUUAUUGUCUGAUUAAAUGCUAAUUUUUGCCUAUUUGAUGUGUGAUGAGAGUUUCUAAAUUUGAAAAAAAGAAUUAUUUAUUUAUUUACCUACUUACCUAUUGUUUUAUUUCAACGAUUACCCUGUUCUGUGAGCUUAUGCAAAUCAUUUGUCAAUUUAAUUAUUAUUUUUAGAAGAGUCUUGCUACCUAAUUUUGUUAAAAUUCUGUCUUUCCAUUUUUUUUCAAAUUAAAUUUUUUCCCUAUGAA